rnacentral:misc_RNA from 1 species
UACGGAAGGUGCAAGCGUUAUCCGGAAUCAUUGGGUUUAAAGGGUCCGUAGGCGGGACAGUAAGUCAGUGGUGAAAGUCUGCAGCUCAGCUGUAGAACUGCCGUUGAAACUGUUGUCCUUGAGUCAUUAUGAAGUGGUUAGAAUAUGUAGUGUAGCGGUGAAAUGCAUAGAUGUUACGUAGAAUACCGAUUGCGAAGGCAGAUCACUAAUAAUUCACUGACGCUGAUGGACGAAAGCGUAGGUAGCGAACAGG